UGACCUCAACUCAGUCAUGAUUACCCGCUGAAUUUUAGCACAUUACUAAGCGGAGGAAAAAAAACUAACGAGGAUUUCCUUAGUACCGGCGAGUAAAAAGAAAAAAGUCCAACGCUGAAUCCAAUAGACAUUUGGCGCUAUAUGGAAAUGUUGCGUAUAGGUAUAACUUCCGUAAUAUAUUUUUGAACUUAAAGUCCCCUUGAGUGGGGCUACAGUCCAUAGAAGGUGAUAGACCUGUACGGGUGAGAAAAGUUAUGAUAGGUCAUAGCUUGAAAUCGGUUUGUUUAAGAUUGCAACCCAAAGAAGGUGGCGACCACGAGACCGAUAGCAAACAAAUACGUAAGGGAAAGUUGCAAAGAACUUUGAAGAGAGAGUUCAAGAGGGCGUGAAACCGCUGAGAUGGAAACGGAUAGAGUUAACGAAACUUAU
rnacentral:ncRNA from 1 species